rnacentral:rRNA from 1 species
ACCUCGCUUUGGAGCGGUUGGCGUCGCCCGCCGGACGAACCUUCUGAACUUUUCUCAAGGUGACCUCGAUCA